GCAUAGCAGAGCCUGAGGGCAGAGACUCCUUUAGGAACUCUGCCUUGACUUCCACCAGGAACUGAGGCAUUGGCGGUGGCUGCUCACCAGGGACACCAAAGGGAGCCUAGAAGAGAUGGGGUUUCAUUUCUGCCCAAGCCUCCUGCUCAACUCCCUUGAAUGGGACUAUGGAUCUGUAUUCGCAAUCUGAAUCUUGUCGAGAAAUCCUAUGCAGUAAAACCUGAAUUCGUGAGUCCGG